rnacentral:lncRNA from 1 species
ACGGAGGGUUACGCAUCUGACGGAUUCGAAACCACCAGUGAAAGCGAUGUGAUUAACGAUGAGAAUGAUCAUCACAACAACAAAGAUGAGAAACAAAUUACUCGAGAUGAUGAUAAUGAUCAAUCCGUGCCUGUCACCGAAGAAGAUAUUCAUCCUUACCAUGAUUCUCUCACCGACGAUCAAAUUCAUCAGCGACUCUGCUAUUCUCUCUCUAUCGCCGCUGUUUCGGCACGGCGCCGCCGGCGGUGGCAGUGUUUAUCGACAAGGGUAUCACCGGAAAAAGGGUACUGUACUUGCGCCUCUCUUUCAUAAGUUUCAUUUGCCUAGAUAUGUCUUCUCUUCUCUGUGUUUUUUCACCUUUCAAUCCUUUUUAUUUGUAUAUAAUUGUUUUACUUUUUCUUUAUGUACCAUAUGUAUUGGAUCAUACGUCAAUUUUGCGCUGAUGGGUCGAGUUUGUGUUUACGUUUUGUUUCCAAGUUCUAGUCCUUGUCUCGUUUUUAGUUUUGUUUUGGUUUUGCAUUUUCUGAGUUACAGCACUGUGUUGAAGUAUGUGAUGCUGAGUUUUGAGUUUUGAUGCAUAGUUUGGUCUGAGUCGCCAUCCCGAGUAUUUUGUUUAGCACCGAGUUGAGUGAAAUCGUGUUUGCGUCGUUUGAUUUGCUAGUUUUGUGCGCUUCUGCUGAUUUCACUAGCUUAAAUGAUUGCCUGGAUUUAGUUCUGAGUAUUGUUUCCUGUUAGUUCUUUUUUCAGCCAAGUAACGCCCGAGUCGCAUGAUCCUAGUUUUAAUGUUGCAUUAUUUUGUUUAUUAUUGUCUGAGCUGCUUUUUAAUUUUUAUCGCUACUGAGUCAAUUAAUCUAAGAGUUGAUACAGGUGUCAUGUUGAAUUAGUAGUGGUCACUUAAUUAGUGUUAUUAGAUUUUUCUGAUUGAAUUAUUUUAUGGCAUGAUUUUAGUUUUAGAAUUGUAAAUUUGAAUAUUAUUUGGAAUUGUAAAUUUGAAUAUUAUUUGAUUUUGAUAGUAGUAAUUGUAGAUCUUGAUUUGUUAUGUUUUAAAUUGNUGUUGCAUUAUUUUGUUUAUUAUUGUCUGAGCUGCUUUUUAAUUUUUAUCGCUACUGAGUCAAUUAAUCUAAGAGUUGAUACAGGUGUCAUGUUGAAUUAGUAGUGGUCACUUAAUUAGUGUUAUUAGAUUUUUCUGAUUGAAUUAUUUUAUGGCAUGAUUUUAGUUUUAGAAUUGUAAAUUUGCAUAUUAUUUGGAAUUGUAAAUUUGAAUAUUAUUUGAUUUUGAUAGUAGUAAUUGUAGAUCUUGAUUUGUUAUGUUUUAAAUUGUGAUUGGAUAAAUAUUCUUUAUGAAUAUUUAGUACCAUUUAUGGGGUCAUUAUUGAUGACAUUAUAUGCCUUUAAUGGCUUUUAGUGCCAUUUUUAUGGCUUCCGUUACCAUUUUGAUGGUCAUUACAUUUAAUAUAUGAGUUAGAUUUUAAACUCAACUUUUAUUCUUCAGUUAAAAUUUUAAAUUUUUAUGUGUCUAACCAAAGGAUUUUCCUUUGGUUAGAUAUUUAUUAAUAAUUCUACAUUAUAUAUAUAUUCCUCUUUAUUUUUUGAUAUAUAUACCCUUUAGUUUUUGUUUUUAUUAGAUUUUUUUGUAUAUUGAUUUAUGUUUUAUUUGAUUGUUUUUUUCUCAGGAUACUUUGGAAGUGAGCUGUAGUGUAUGG